UGCCCAGCAACUCCUAUCCCUACCUCCUCGUGGUACUGGCCGGGGUACGAGUAACCUUGGGGAAGAUCGGGUAACCAACCCCCGGUGGGAACUUUGGUCGUAUGCUGACAGGGAAGC
rnacentral:ribozyme from 1 species